rnacentral:rRNA from 1 species
UACAGAGGGUGCAAGCGUUGCUCGGAAUUAUUGGGCGUAAAGGGUAGGUAGGUGGUCUUAUUUGUCUGAUGUGAAAGCCUUGGGCUUAACUCAAGAAGUGCGUCAGAAACGGUGAGACUAGAGUGCUGGAGAGGGUCGUGGAAUUCCCGGUGUAGCGGUGAAAUGCGUAGAGAUAUGGAGGAACACCAGUGGCGAAGGCGACUUUCUGGUCUGUAACUGACACUGAGGCGCGAAAGCGUGGGGAGCAAACAGG